rnacentral:rRNA from 1 species
AUUGAACGCUGGCGGCAGGCUUAACACAUGCAAGUCGAGCGGAUGAAGGGUGCUUGCUCCUGGAUCCAGCGGCGGACGGGUGAGUAAUGCCUAGGAAUCUGCCUGGUAGUGGGGGAUAACGUCCGGAAACGGGCGCUAAUACCGCCUACGUCCUGCGGGUGAAAGUUGGGGAUCUUCGGACCUCACGCUCUCAGAUGAGCCUAGGUCGGAUUAGCUAGUUGGUGGGGUAAAGGCUUACCAAGGCGACGAUCCGUAACUGGUCUGAGAGGAUGAUCAGUCACACUGGAACUGAGACACGGUCCAGACUCCUACGGGAGGCAGCAGUGGGGAAUAUUGGACAAUGGGCGAAAGCCUGAUCCAGCCAUGCCGCGUGUGUGAAGAAGGUCUUCGGAUUGUAAAGCACUUUAAGUGGGGAGGAAGGGCAGUAAGUUAAUACCUUGCUGUUUUGACGGUACCAGCAGAAUAAGCACCGGCUAACUUCGUG